rnacentral:rRNA from 1 species
AGAGUUUGAUCCUGGCUCAGGAUGAACGCUGGCGGCGUGCCUAACACAUGCAAGUCGCGCGCUUCACUUCGGUGAAGAGUGGCGAACGGGUGAGUAAUACAUAAGUAACCUGGCAUCUACAGGGGGAUAACUGAUGGAAACGUCAGCUAAGACCGCAUAGGUGUAGAGAUCGCAUGAACUCUAUAUGAAAAGUGCUACGGGACUGGUAGAUGAUGGACUUAUGGCGCAUUAGCUGGUUGGUAGGGUAACGGCCUACCAAGGCGACGAUGCGUAGCCGACCUGAGAGGGUGACCGGCCACACUGGGACUGAGACACGGCCCAGACUCCUACGGGAGGCAGCAGUAGGGAAUUUUCGGCAAUGGGGGAAACCCUGACCGAGCAACGCCGCGUGAAGGAAGAAGUAAUUCGUUAUGUAAACUUCUGUCAUAGAGGAAGAACGGUGGAUAUAGGGAAUGAUAUCCAAGUGACGGUACUCUAUAAGAAAGCCACGGCUAACUACGUGCCAGCAGCCGCGGUAAUACGUAGGUGGCGAGCGUUAUCCGGAAUUAUUGGGCGUAAAGAGGGAGCAGGCGGCACUAAGGGUCUGUGGUGAAAGAUCGAAGCUUAACUUCGGUAAGCCAUGGAAACCGUAGAGCUAGAGUGUGUGAGAGGAUCGUGGAAUUCCAUGUGUAGCGGUGAAAUGCGUAGAGAUGUGGAGGAACACCAGUGGCGAAGGCGACUUUCUGGUCUGUAACUGACGCUGAGGCGCGAAAGCGUGGGGAGCAAACAGGAUUAGAUACCCUUGUAGUCCUAUCAGGCAUCUUAC